rnacentral:misc_RNA from 1 species
GAUGAAGAACGUAGCGAAAUGCGAUAAGUAAUGUGAAUUGCAGAACUCAGUGAAUCAUCGAAUCUUUGAACGCACAUUGCGCCCCCUGGUAUUCCGGGGGGCAUGCCUGUUCGAGCGUCAUUUCACCACUCAAGCCUCGCUUGGUAUUGGGCAACGCGGUCCGCCGCGUGCCUCAAAUCGACCGGCUGGGUCUUCUGUCCCCUAAGCGUUGUGGAAACUAUUCGCUAAAGGGUGUUCGGGAGGCUACGCCGUAAAACAACCCCAUUUCUAAGGUUGACCUCGGAUCAGGUAGGGAUACCCGCUGAACUUAAGCAUAUCAAUAAGCGGAGGA